rnacentral:rRNA from 14 species
AGGGGAGUGAAAUAGAACAUGAUACCGUAAGCUGUCAAGCAGUGGGAGGACAAGAAUAAAUCUAAUUUUUUCUAAGUUUGACCGCGUGCCUGUUGAAGAAUGAGCCGGCGACUUAUAAGGAGUGGCUUGGUUAAGGGUAAAAGCCGAAGCCAAAGCGAAAGCGAGUCUUAAUAGGGCGCUUUAGUCAGUGGGCGCACGCGAAACUUUGU